GACGAACGCUGGCGGCGUGCUUAACACAUGCAAGUCGAACGGAAAGGCCCUGCUUUUGUGGGGUGCUCGAGUGGCGAACGGGUGAGUAACACGUGAGUAACCUGCCCUUGACUUUGGGAUAACUUCAGGAAACUGGGGCUAAUACCGGAUAGGAGCUCCUGCUGCAUGGGGGGGGUUGGAAAGUUUCGGCGGUUGGGGAUGGACUCGCGGCUUAUCAGCUUGUUGGUGGGGUAGUGGCUUACCAAGGCUUUGACGGGUAGCCGGCCUGGGAGGGUGACCGGCCACAUUGGGACUGCGAUACGGCCCAGACUCCUACGGGAGGCAGCAGUGGGGAAUAUUGCACAAUGGGCGGAAGCCUGAUGCAGCAACGCCGCGUGCGGUAUGACGGCCUUCGGGUUGUAAACCGCUUUCGCCUGUGACGAAGCGUGAGUGACGGUAAUGGGUACAGAAGCACCGGCUAACUACGUG
rnacentral:rRNA from 1 species